GAUGAUCGCUGAGAUCUUAGGAGCUCAGAGGAAAGUCCGGACACCAUACGGCAGCAUGCCCGGUGAAAGCCGGGGAGCCUCGUUGUAAUGGCGGGGCGACGGAAAGUGUCGCAGAAAACAAACCGCCCUGCUCACGCAGGGUAAGGGUGAAAAGGCGAGGUAAGAGCUCACCGCCCCAAAGGUAACGGAGGGGGUACGAUAAACCCCAUGUGGUGCAAGACAGAACAGGGCAAACGGGCAGCCGGUCCGGUUUGGCGACUUCGGUCGUUGGUGUGCCCGGGUAAUAGUCGCACUCUGCUUCAGCAGGGAUUUGGGGGUUCACAAGAAAAUCCAACUAGAUAAAUGAUCGUCCGUCGACGCCGAUUACGGCCAGACGAACAGAAUCCGGCUUAUGG
rnacentral:RNase_P_RNA from 1 species